CAAGGUAGCUGCAUGGUUGUCGUCAGCUCGUGCCGUGAGGUGUCGGGUUAAGUCCCAUAACGAGCGCAACCCCUAUCAUUAGUUGCCAUCAGGUCAAGCUGGGGACUCUAAUGAAACUGCCUACGCAAGUAGUGAGGAAGGUGGGGAUGACGUCAAAUCAGCACGGCCCUUACGUCCGGGGCUACACACGUGCUACAAUGGCCGGUACAAAGGGUUGCGAAGCCGUGAGGUGGAGCGAAUCUCAAAAAGCCGGCCUCAGUUCGGAUUGGAGGCUGCAACUCGCCUCCAUGAAGUCGGAAUCGCUAGUAACCGCAGAUCAGCUACGUUGCGGUGAAUACGUUCCCGGGCCUU
rnacentral:rRNA from 1 species